UCUCGCCUCAACUCCAACCUAUCAUUAUGAGUGUUUGGCUGUACUGCCUUUGUUCAUAUUCAUUCUCAUCGUCGAGGUAAACUUGAUCCCCGAGCUGUUAAAUGUGUUCUGAUCGGAUACUCUCCUACUCAAAAGGGUUACAAAUGCUUUGACCCAUCAACAAAAAGAACGUUUGUAAGUUCAGAUGUCACUUUCUUUGAAAAUACACCAUAUUUCCAAAAAACUUCUAUUCAAGGGGAGACACUACAUGAAGAUCGGUUCCUAGAUUUCGAUCUCAAUCUCAACCUCAAUUCUCUUGAGUCUACACCCACCAAUAAUUCACCCACCAAUAAUUCUACACUACCAUCCAGUAUGCCAUUAACAGAAGAAAACUUACAACCAAGGAGAGAUGUAGAAAAACAAAGUAAUGAAGAGAUACUAGGUUACUCACGGAAGCGAAAAUCAAAGUACAAGGAAACCAUCACAUCUGAGGCACCAAAAGAGUCAGAACCGAUGAUGGCUCCUCAUGAAGCCUCAAAUAUUCCCGACUUACCCAUUGCUCUCAGAAAACCAAUUAGGUCAUGUACUCUCCAUCCUAUUUCAAAAUUCA
rnacentral:lncRNA from 1 species